AACACUUCACUUAACCCCACUCCAGUCGAAUCUGAUCAUCAAGCCUAUAUACUAUACAAAGGGUAUCUUAAAUUACAUCUGACUGUUAGUUCAAGCAUUCAAUAAUACAAGCUAUUAAUAUGUUAGAUGUUAGAUUGUACAGCUUUAUGUAAAUGACAUAUAUAAAAGCCUGUUCUAUGGAAAACAAAAGUUGAUUAGAU